rnacentral:rRNA from 1 species
CGGACGGGUGAGUAACGCGUGGGUAACCUGCCUUGCACUGGGGGAUAGCACUUAGAAAUAGGUGCUAAUACCGCAUAAGCGCACGGUCCUGCAUGGGACAGUGUGAAAAACUCCGGUGGUGCAAGAUGGACCCGCGUCUGAUUAGCUGGUUGGCGGGGUAAAGGCCCACCAAGGCGACGAUCAGUAGCCGGCCUGAGAGGGUGGACGGCCACAUUGGGACUGAGACACGGCCCAAACUCCUACGGAAGGCAGCAG